GACGAACGCUGGCGGCGUGCCUAAUACAUGCAAGUAGAACGCUGAAGAAAGGAGCUUGCUUCUUUUGGAUGAGUUGCGAACGGGUGAGUAACGCGUAGGUAACCUGCCUUGUAGCGGGGGAUAACUAUUGGAAACGAUAGCUAAUACCGCAUAACAGCUUUUGACACAUGUUAGAAGCUUGAAAGAUGCAAUUGCAUCACUACGAGAUGGACCUGCGUUGUAUUAGCUAGUAGGUAGGGUAACGGCCUACCUAGGCGACGAUACAUAGCCGACCUGAGAGGGUGAUCGGCCACACUGGGACUGAGACACGGCCCAGACUCCUACGGGAGGCAGCAGUAGGGAAUCUUCGGCAAUGGGGGCAACCCUGACCGAGCAGCGCCGCGUGAGUGAAGAAGGUUCUCGGAUCGUAAAGCUCUGUUGUAAGAGAAGAACGUGUGUGAGAGUGGAAAGUUCACACAGUGACGGUAACUUACCAGAAAGGGACGGCUAACUACGUGCCAGCAGCCGCCGUAA
rnacentral:rRNA from 1 species